rnacentral:rRNA from 1 species
GACGAACGCUGGCGGCGUGCUUAACACAUGCAAGUCGAACGGUAAGGCCCUUCGGAGUACACGAGUGGCGAACGGGUGAGUAACACGUGGGUGAUCUGCCCUGCACUUCGGGAUAAGCCUGGGAAACUGGGUCUAAUACCGGAUAGGACCACUGCCUGCAUGGGUGGUGGUGGAAAGCUUUUGCGGUGUGGGAUGGGCCCGCGGCCUAUCAGCUUGUUGGGGGGGUGAUGGCCUACCAAGGCGACGACGGGUAGCCGGCCUGAGAGGGUGACCGGCCACACUGGGACUGAGAUACGGCCCAGACUCCUACGGGAGGCAGCAGUGGGGAAUAUUGCACAAUGGGCGCAAGCCUGAUGCAGCGACGCCGCGUGAGGGAUGACGGCCUUCGGGUUGUAAACCUCUUUCAGCACCGACGAAGCGCAAGUGACGGUAGGUGCAGAAGAAGGACCGGCCAACUACGUGCCAGCCGCCGCAGUAA